UGCUCGUCGGCAGCAAGGUGUAAUUUUUCCAUGUCCAGCAGAGAUCAGGAACACACGAGAUGUUAUUCAUCCAUCUCAGAAACGACAGCAAACGGACAUUUCUGAAGAUUUCAUCUCAAUGGAUUCAGUUGAACCAGUUAUACCACAAGCUUUCCAAAGCUGUUUUAGCAUGGAAUUCACAGAAAGUGCUGCUCUGCUCCAGCUAUGCCACAAUUCAGUAGAGAAGUGACACCGGUUUGCCUUGACAAAGCAAUACAACCAGCUCAAAACACAAGGUAAAUUCCCCUCUACUUUCCAAACUUUUCCCUACCAUUAUUUUUUUUUAGUGGCACAUACAAACAGAAGUCUGAAGCACCAGUUUCCAGGACUCACAACUCUGCAUUCACGCUCUUUCAUAAGACUCAUGACUUUCUUUUUUUUUAAGAAGGAAAUACACCUGGAGUGCCCAAGCACUGAGAACAAGCCCCCUCCUGAGAAGUUGCAGGAUGGUGAAUGCAGGAGUGGAUUUAAGCCACAGAGCUUUGCCUGAUAGGGUUACAUUUGGGAAGAAAGAGAGAGACUGAGCAGACACGCAAAAUAAACAGGUAGGAAAUUAUUUCUGCAGC